UACGUAGGCAGCAAGCGUUGUUCGGAAUUACUGGGCGUAAAGAGUGUGUAGGCGGUGCUCUAAGUUCGGUGUGAAAUCUCCCGGCUCAACUGGGAGGGUGCGCCGGAAACUGGAAUGCUUGAGCGUGGGAGAGGAAAGCGGAAUUCCUGGUGUAGCGGUGAAAUGCGUAGAUAUCAGGAGGAACACCUGCGGUGUAGACGGCUUUCUGGACCAUUGCUGACGCUGAUGCACGAAAGCUAGGGGAGCAAACAGG
rnacentral:rRNA from 1 species